rnacentral:rRNA from 1 species
CCUCGGACGUCAGGACGAACGCUAGGCGGCAUGCCUAACACAAUAGCGAAGUCGUAACGGGGAUUAGGCUAAUAUCCUAGUGGUCGAACGGGUGAGUAACGCGUGAGUAACCUGCCUCAGUACAACGGGAUACCUGAGGGAAACUUCAGUUAAUACGGUAUAAGACCACACUGCCGCAUGGACAGAGGGGUAAAAGGAGCAAUCCGGUAUGAGAUGGACUCGCGUCGCAUUAGCUAGUUGGUGAGGUAACGGCCCACCAAGGCGACGAUGCGUAGCCGACCUGAGAGGGUGAUCGGCCACAUUGGGACUGAGAUACGGGCCCAGACUCCUACGGGAGGCAGCAGUGGGGAAUAUUGGGCAAUGGAGGAAACUCUGACCCAGCAAUGCCGCGUGAAUGAAGAAGGUCUUCGGAUUGUAAAGUUCUUUAGUCAGGGAAGAAAGAAAUGACGGUACCUGAAGAAUAAGCUCCGGCUAACUACGUG